ensembl:lncRNA
GUAGGCUCUUUGCUCGGACUUUUCUCAUAGCUUCACUCAGGAGAUUGGGUUUUCUGCUCACUAGAAAAAAAUGCAACUCAGACUGAGGUGAACUUCCAUGCAUUUUUCUUUUUACUACUGAAGAGAGGAGCAAGCCCUGUGGUUAGGGGUGGAAUUCUGUAGUCCAUCUCAGAACGUUGUAAAGGGGCCGGUUUCGUGUCUCUUGGGCCUCCUGACUCCUUGGAUGGUGAUGCUGGGGGAGCUGGGUAAGCAGGCUCGAUAGCCCCGGUCUACAUCAUAUGCUCCAGGUCCUGGUGUCUCUGAAAUUAAAAUAAGCACUUUGUGUUGGUGGUUCCUUUCGGGUGCUGUGAAAAUCAAGUGCCACCUCAGCAGGCUGCUCCAAACCAUCUGAUGAAGUGUUAGGAACCUCUUCCAAGCUCAGCUGUAAGGACAUAACCAACCUCUAAUGGAGAGGUGCUUUGUGUUUGGGGCUCGAUGCAUGUUGUAUGUGACAGUUUGAUGCUUGGUGCUCACAUCUGAGAGCAAUGUGGAGCUGUUACUGAGCUCCUGCUGGAGGGUGCAGGUGAAACCAAUGUUCCCUGAAGUUCCUGGGAAGCAAUGUUGUAUUUCCAGCAGGGAUUGGGCUCUCCUUUGGGUUGCACAGCACCAUGGAUGGUGUGUGAUCUCCCAGGCUGUACAAAGCUGCAGUGGAAUAAUCCUGGUGAUAAGAACAUGUUAGCUGAUGCGGGUGUUGCUAAACCCUGCUCACAAUGGUGUUAUGAGAGCAGUUCACUUCAGCCCCCCCAGCAUCCCGGGGUGGGGAGGAGCCUUCUCAAUGUACAGCUAUUUUUCUGAAGGGAAUGAAAUUCUUCCCAAGAUUCUCAGCACUGUGGGCCUUGGUCUCAGAAAAGCUUCUUGGAAGUUAUGCUUUCCUCCUCUACAAAUGCAGUGAUGGUACUCAGUGAGUUGGAUUUUUGUUUUAUCACUGUCUUUUCACUUCUGCAAGCAACACAGUUAUACAGCACUUACAGCACAAGAGGAAGACUUUCUGGACGGAGCUCUACUACAGCACACAGGAUUGUAUGUGGUGGUGUAUUGUGGUAACUGGGGGAAAGGGUGGCAAACUGGUGUGUCUGGCAAUGAAUGUGGAGUAUACCUCAGCUGGGCUGCUCAAAAUCACCUAAUGGGGCCUUGAUUGUUUACCAGGAUCUGAGUCCUUUGGGCAAAAGGCAGAGCAGCAGGAGGGAGAUGGCUGUGCUGGGGGGGAUUGGCUGCAGCUGCAUCAUGCACUUCGUGCUGAGUGACCUGGAGUCUCUGCAUGAUGGAGGAAAAGUCAGGCCCCCAGAUAAAUUCCAGCCCAAGCUGAGUGUGAGAAAAUGUGGUGGCAGCUACUGUGCUUUGUGUGCUGAGCUGUGGCUGUUGGUUGUUGAAGCAGUGCAAGCAGUGUCACUUCCCACUAUGCAAAGCAUCACACAAUUCCUAAGUAGCUGUUGUUUGAGGCUGCUUAGAUGCAGAGCAGUGUGGAGAAAUGAAACCUUUAUAACUGCUCCAGCUUAAGCCAGAAGCGUGGCUUUUGGCUACGCUGCCUGAGUGCACAGCAGUCAUGCACUAGGAAUGCAUCUCGUGCUGCUUGUGAAGCAUGAAACGUAUAUAAUGUUAGCAUGGGGAUCAUAAGAAAUCACCUGUUUGCACAUGAUUUGACAACAGGCUGCUGCUGUGAUAGGGCCUUGUGCCUGCCCUGCUUCUGUGCUGCUGCACCCAGGAGGGAAAUGGAUACAGCUUCCCAAAGGUGGACCUUUUCCACCCAAGAUGCUCAACGAGCAGCAGCACUGUGACUUCAUAUUGGGCUCGUGGGCAGAAGUGGGACGCACGGCAGCAACAAGGGAGCUGCCAGGGUCUCUGUGUGAGGGGAGGGCAGGGAGGGGUUUGGGCUGACCGACGUGUUUGCGGUUUCUGAGAACAUCCAGGCUCGUCCGCUGCUGCCUGAUGAAAUGUGGGUACAUCGCCCCGGCGAGCUGAGGGCUGCAGAUGCUGCACGUGGGCUGCAGUGAAACGGAGAAAGGCAGAACACCAAAUGAGCUUCUGUCACUUCAAACAGCGGCAGCAGACAUCAGCUUAUGUCACACGUCACAACCCCGACUGUCAGUCUGCAAGACCUUGUGCAGCCUCGUCAGCAGCUGCAGGAGCUCUCCUGCCUUCUGCUUCCCUUGGCUCCCUCUCCAGCUGUUUGUAGGUCCUUUCUCUGAGGGAACCAGGGAAUAAAGCAGAAGACCAACAUCCCUUAUAAUAGGGAUUAAUAGGCACUCGCUAUUUCUAAUCCUUGGACUUGGAGAUUCCAAGCAAGGAGGUGUGGCUUUGGUGCUCUCUGAAGCGAGGUCUGCUUUCGACCCAACACGUUGAAAGUUCCUCACCUCUCUAAGAACACAACUUGCAACGAAUCCUGGUUUGGUGUAAGGAAAAACAUCUCCAAGUGCUCCCAGACUGCAGUGGGGACACUGGUACGGUGGUGGGACCUCCUGGACCCUGGGGAAGCUCUACUGGCCAUGCUGGCUGCGUGCUCAGCGGUUGGCUGGCUCCCUUCCAGCUGAGGUUUGCAGCACUCCCAUCACCAAGCUGCACCAAUGCGUGCAUUGCUGACAGGGAGAGGGCAGUCCGGCAGAGGUGAACAGCACCUCUUUCAGAAGCAAUUUUAGUUUAAAGAGCUUUAAAGCGAUUGCUAAGCUCAGCGUUAGCAGAGCCCGCGUUGUGCAGCAUCGCUGCAUGCACACACUGCAUGCCUCCACUUGGCAGUGCAGGAAGUAACGGGGGAGGAAAAAGAAUGUAUUCUGCUUAACGGGAACUCUCCUUGGGUCAGGACGUGACCUUUCCCGUGCCGCCUUAGGACAGCUCCAGCAGGAGCCAUGCAGCACAUGGAAGCACGGCCCCGCUCUGCCAACAGUUAACUUCUUUCCCACCCAGGCCUCCCAUAGAGGAGCUCAGGGAACGACACGGCCGGCAACGACCUACAUCAGCUCCGUAUUUGAUCUCCAUCCUCAUCGCCGGGUCUGCGCUCGACCACCACGGUUUCUUCCCACUGCAGCGCGCUGCAUCUGCACGAGGAAGGACGGGAAGAGCCACGGAGAGGCGCCGAGCCCUUCCCACGGCCGCGCCGCGCUCCCCGAGGUGACCGCACGGACACCGCCGUCCCCCAUUUACCCAUAUUUCCGCAUUCGGACGGCGCCUUCGGGGCCGAACACGCGGAGUUCGGCGGCAGCAGCACCGGCCCUUCGGCGCCGGGUCCCCGUCGGAGUACGGCGGUACGGAGCGACGCCAAAGCGCGCGGAGCGGCACCGGGACAGCGCGGUCAGGAGCGCCUGCGCGGCACAGAGGCGGAGGGGCGGAGGACGCCGCUCCCGCACAGCGGCCCGAAGCUGCCGUCCGUCCGUCCGUCCGUCCGCUCCAGUUCCCCUACGACCCCAGCACGGCCCCCCGGCGUGGGGCCAGGCCGCUGCGAGGCCUUCGGAGCCGGCGAUGAGCCCUCGCCGCCACGAAGUUACGAUCUAUUUAUCGCUGUACGCAUAACGCACCGACUCCGAGGUCCCCCAGGCGGCCCAGACCCGCUCCC